AGCAUUUUUGUUGAGAUAACAAUAUGAAUUGAAAAAAAAUUAACAAAUGUUGCUCACAGAGAAUUAAUUUUCAACACAGAGGAUGAUUUUCUGUGUCCUAAGAGAGUUGAAGCCCUGAGGAUCUCUUUCGGUAAAAGUCUGAAACCCCAAGGUGAUUUCUACAUAUCAAACUGCAGCCCUUUGAAAAAGUUAAAGAUGGAGUAACCUGUUGAACCAUUUCAAAUCUAUUUGGGACCGAAUUAAACAGAAGCAUAUUGUCAUAAGAAAACAUAUGAGUGGAUAUGAGCCUAUCUCAGCAAAAAACUGAAAUGAGAUGUGGAGAAAGGUUCAAAACCUGGCACAAGUAUGGAACUCUGAACUUCUAACUUCUUCUGAGUGAUACCAGCCAUAAUAUAUCCUCACUCUUGUGGGAAUAUGACGCUAAAGUGAGAGAGAGAAAGAAGAGAAGAGAAGAGAGAGAAAAGAGAGAGAAGAGAAGAGAAGAGAAGAGAAGAGAAGAGAAGAGAAGAGAAGAG